rnacentral:ncRNA from 1 species
CCAGGGGGUGGCUCCAAGAGUCUGAGAAUUGCCAGUCGGCAUAAACUCCUAGAACCUGAUCCGGUUAGUACCGGCGUAGGAAUGGGC